rnacentral:rRNA from 1 species
UGGGGAAUAUUGCACAAUGGGCGCAAGCCUGAUGCAGCCAUGCCGCGUGUAUGAAGAAGGCCUUCGGGUUGUAAAGUACUUUCAGCGGGGAGGAAGGGAGUAAAGUUAAUACCUUUGCUCAUUGACGUUACCCGGAGAAGAAGCACCGGCUAACUCCGUGCCAGCAGCCGCGGUAAUACGGAGGGUGCAAGCGUUAAUCGGAAUUACUGGGCGUAAAGCGCACGCAGGCGGUUUGUGAAGUCAGAUGUGAAAUCCCCGGGCUCAACCUGGGAACUGCCUCUGAUACUGGCAAGCUUUAGGCUCGUAGAGGGGGGUAGAAUGCCAGGUGUAGCUGUGAAAUGCGUAGAGAUCUGGAGGAAUACCAGUGGCGAAGGCGGCCCCCUGGACGAAGACUGACGAUCAGGUGCGAAAGCGUGGGGAGCAAACAGG